rnacentral:rRNA from 1 species
UACGUAGGGUGCAGGCGUUAAUCGGAAUUACUGGGCGUAAAGCGUGCGCAGGCGGUUUCUUAAGUCAGAUGUGAAAGCCCCGGGCUUAACCUGGGAACUGCGUUUGAAACUGGGAGACUUGAGUGUGGCAGAGGGGGGUGGAAUUCCACGUGUAGCAGUGAAAUGCGUAGAUAUCGUAAGGAGGGCCAGUGGCGAAGGCGAGUUCCUGGACAGUUACUGACGCUGAGGCACGAAGGCCAGGGGAGCAAACGGG